GUUUCUGUAGUUGAAUUACAACGAUGAUUUUUCAUGUCAUUGGUCGCAGUUGAAUGCUGUGUAGAAAUA
rnacentral:tRNA from 12 species